UACGGAGGGUGCAAGCGUUAAUCGGAAUUACUGGGCGUAAAGCGUGCGCAGGCGGUUUGUUAAGUCUGUUGUGAAAUCCCCGAGCUCAACUUGGGAAUUGCAAUGGAUACUGGCAGGCUGGAGUAUGGUAGAGGAAGGUGGAAUUCCCGGUGUAGCAGUGAAAUGCGUAGAGAUCGGGAGGAACACCAGUGGCGAAGGCGGCCCCCUGGGUUAACACUGACGCUCAGGCACGAAAGCGUGGGGAGCAAACAGG
rnacentral:rRNA from 1 species